UACGAAGGGGGCUAGCGUUGCUCGGAAUUACUGGGCGUAAAGGGCGCGUAGGCGGCACGGCAAGUCAGGAGUGAAAGCCCGGGGCUCAACCCCGGAAUGUCUUUUGAAACUGCCGAGCUAGAGUGCGGAAGAGGCAACUGGAAUUCCCAGUGUAGCGGUGAAAUGCGUAGAUAUUGGGAAGAACACCUGAGGCGAAGGCGGGUUGCUGGGCCGACACUGACGCUGAGGCGCGAAAGCCAGGGGAGCGAACGGG
rnacentral:rRNA from 1 species